rnacentral:rRNA from 1 species
AGAGUUUGAUCCGUGGCUCAGGACGAACGCUGGCGGCGUGCUUAACACAUGCAAGUCGAGCGGAAAGGCCCUUUCGGGGGUACUCGAGCGGCGAAACGGGUGAGUAACACGUGAGUAAUCUGCCCUUGGCUUUGGGAUAACUACCGGAAACGGUGGCUAAUACCGGAUACGACUGCUCCCGGCAUCGGGGGUGGUGGAAAGUUUUUUCGGCCAGGGAUGUGCUCGCGGCCUAUCAGCUUGUUGGUGGGGUAAUGGCCUACCAAGGCUUCGACGGGUAGCCGGCCUGAGAGGGUGACCGGCCACACUGGGACUGAGACACGGCCCAGACUCCUACGGGAGGCAGCAGUGGGGAAUAUUGGACAAUGGGCGGAAGCCUGAUCCAGCAACGCCGCGUGAGGGAUGACGGCCUUCGGGUUGUAAACCUCUUUCAGUACCGACGAAGCGCCGAUGAUGGUGGUGACGGUAGGUACAGAAGAAGCACCGGCCAACUACGUG